rnacentral:snoRNA from 1 species
UCAAAUGAUGAUCCAUUUUUAACACGGAGAACUUCGUUCCUUGAAGAAGAAAACUACGCAACAACACUCUAAUUUUUUACUGAAC